AAUGAACGCUGGCGGCAUGCCCAACUCAUGCAAGUCGAACGAAGGCUUCGGCCUUAGUGGCGCACGGGUGCGUAACGCGUGGGAAUCUGCCCUCAGGUUCGGAAUAACAGCGAGAAAUUGCUGCUAAUACCGGAUGAUAUCGCGAGAUCAAAGAUUUAUCGCCUGAGGAUGAGCCCGCGUAGGAUUAGCUAGUUGGUGUGGUAAAGGCGCACCAAGGCGACGAUCCUUAGCUGGUCUGAGAGGAUGAUCAGCCACACUGGGACUGAGACACGGCCCAGCCUCCUACGGGAGGCAGCAGUGGGGAAUAUUGGACAAUGGGCGAAAGCCUGAUCCAGCAACGCCGCGUGAGUGAUGAAGGCCUUAGGGUUGUAAAGCUCUUUUACCCGGGAUGAUAAUGACAGUACCGGGAGAAUAAGCUCCGGCUAACUCCGUGCCAGCCGCCGCCGUAA
rnacentral:rRNA from 1 species